GGCGCACGGGUGAGUAAUAUAUAGGUAACGUGCCUCUUAGUCUGGGAUAGCCAUUGGAAACGAUGAUUAAUACUAGAUACUCCUUCUCAUUAUAAUUUGAGUCGGGAAAGUUUUUCGCUAAGAGAUCGGCCUAUAUCCCAUCAGUUAGUUGGUAAGGUAACGGCUUACCAAGGCAAUGACGGGUAGCGGGUUUGAGAGGAUGAUCCGCCACACUGGUACUGAGACACGGACCAGACUCCUACGGGAGGCAGCAGUGAGGAAUAUUGCACAAUGGAGGAAACUCUGAUGCAGCAACGCCGCGUGGAGGAUGACGCAUUUCGGUGUGUAAACUCCUUUUAUAAGGGAAGAAAAUGACGGUACCUUAUGAAUAAGCACCGGCUAACUCCGUGCCAGCAGCCGCGGUAAUACGGAGGGUGCAAGCGUUACUCGGAAUCACUGGGCGUAAAGGACACGUAGGCGGGUUGUCAAGUCAGGUGUGAAAUCCUACAGCUUAACUGUAGAACUGCACUUGAAACUGGCAACCUAGAGUAUGGGAGGGGGAGAUGGAAUUAGUGGUGUAGGGGUAAAAUCCGUAGAUAUCACUAGGAAUACCGAAAGCGAAGGCGAUCUCCUGGAACAUUACUGACGCUAAGGUGUGAAAGCGUGGGGAGCAAACGGGAUUAGAUACCCCGGUAGUCCACGCCCUAAACGAUGAACACUAGUCGUCGGGAUGCUAGUCAUCUCGGUGAUGCACUUAACAGAUUAAGUGUUCCG
rnacentral:rRNA from 1 species